CAUGAAUAUUAGACUUUAGCUAUAUGAGAUUUUUUUAAGCAUUUUUUCCAUUUAGAGACAAGCAAUGUGUAUGGAGUAAAGAAGAUGAACUUGAUGGAAAUAGUGGCUCAGGCAGAAGCCUUCCUAAUUCACAGAAGUAUAAGGAGGAGGAGGAGGUCCAGGACAAUCAGACAUGAAUCCUUUUCUUAAAUUGUUUGCAAUGUGAAACAGAUAACUGAUCUCUGAUCAUAGUUAAAAAGUGGCACAUUGAUGCUUGCCAGAAGGGAACCGAUGAUUUUCAGUCUGGACAGAACCAUCAGAAAAACAUGGAACAGAGCUGUCCAACUCUCAAGGCUGGGAAAAAAACAGCCCAAAGUCCAUUAAUUCAAAGGAGUGGGAAGAAAAAGCCCAGGAUUUAAACCUUGGGGCUGAGAAACAGAGACAUGCAUGCACAUGCAUACACACAGAUGCGAGAGAGGGCUUGACAUUGUGUUUUACAGAAGGCAGAUCUUCUGCACACAUAUGACUUUCUUGUCUGCACUAAAGCAAUUUAACCAGCUGAGUCAUGUCUAUGAAGUUUCUGCUGUUAGCUAGUUCCUGAAUGCAGGGCUGAGUUUCUGGAAAGCUGAGAUUUAUUGCCCUGGCUGGUGUGAAGCCUAACAAACAAGGAGUAUGUGUGAGUCUUAGGAAUGUAUACUCCUGAUAGUCUGCCGCCUCCCUGGCUUUCGUCUGUAUCAUCAGACCCCAAGAGGAAUUUCUGUGGGUUCCCCCUGACCCACCCAGAUUGGUUAGCAUUCAGGGGAGUUUCUGAGUUAUGGAAUGGCAUAUUCAAGGUUUGGGGUGAAGCCAAAAUUCUGGAAGGUCAAAGGAAACCAA